CCCCUCUCUAGCAACACUUUCCAGCUCCUCCAGGAAGAUCCAGAGACGUUCCAAGGCCAGUGGCAACGACACUACGGUUGAAAUAAUGGAACAACCUUCAAUUGCUUUUGAAAACAGAUGUCUAAAGUCACUGUGGAGUGAAAGGAACAGCCCAGGAUGCGCAGCCUGCCAUGUAAUAGGAAAAACUCCUGCUUUGAAAACAAAAUCAGAUCUUCAAGCUUGACUUAAAUUUGCAGCUGCACAUGUGAACAAGCCAAAUACUUUCUGGAGAACAGUUUUAUGG